rnacentral:rRNA from 1 species
UACGAAGGGGGCUAGCGUUGCUCGGAAUCACUGGGCGUAAAGCGCACGUAGGCGGCUUCUUAAGUCAGGGGUGAAAUCCUGGAGCUCAACUCCAGAACUGCCUUUGAUACUGAGUAGCUUGAGUCCGGGAGAGGUGAGUGGAACUGCGAGUGUAGAGGUGAAAUUCGUAGAUAUUCGCAAGAACACCAGUGGCGAAGGCGGCUCACUGGCCUGGUACUGACGCUGAGAAGCGAAAGCAUGGGGGAGCGAACAGG